rnacentral:rRNA from 3 species
AGCCUGAUGCAGCGACGCCGCGUGAGGGAUGACGGCCUUCGGGUUGUAAACCUCUUUCAGCAGGGACGAAGCGCAAGUGACGGUACCUGCAGAAGAAGCACCGGCUAACUACGUGCCAGCAGCCGCGGUAAUACGUAGGGUGCAAGCGUUGUCCGGAAUUACUGGGCGUAAAGAGUUCGUAGGCGGUUUGUCGCGUCGUUUGUGAAAACCAGCAGCUCAACUGCUGGCUUGCAGGCGAUACGGGCAGACUUGAGUACUGCAGGGGAGACUGGAAUUCCUGGUGUAGCGGUGAAAUGCGCAGAUAUCAGGAGGAACACCGGUGGCGAAGGCGGGUCUCUGGGCAGUAACUGACGCUGAGGAACGAAAGCGUGGGUAGCGAACAGGAUUAGAUACCCUGGUAGUCCACGCCGUAAACGGUGGGCGCUAGGUGUGGGUUCCUUCCACGGAAUCCGUGCCGUAGCUAACGCAUUAAGCGCCCCGCCUGG